rnacentral:rRNA from 1 species
CGAUUCUGGCUCAGGAUGAACGCUAGCGACAGGCUAACACAUGCAAGUCGAGGGGCAGCACGGGAGUAGCAAUACAACUGGUGGCGACCGGCGCACGGGUGGGUAACGCGUAUGCAACCUACCUAUCAGAGGGGAAUAACCCGGCGAAAGUCGGACUAAUACCGCAUAAAACAGGGGCACCGCAUGGUGAUAUUUGUUAAAGAGAUUCGCUGAUAGAUGGGCAUGCGUUCCAUUAGGUAGUUGGUGAGGUAACGGCUCACCAAGCCGACGAUGGAUAGGGGAACUGAGAGGUUGGUCCCCCACACUGGUACUGAGACACGGACCAGACUCCUACGGGAGGCAGCAGUGAGGAAUAUUGGUCAAUGGGCGGGAGCCUGAACCAGCCAAGUCGCGUGAAGGAAGAAGGAUCUAUGGUUCGUAAACUUCUUUGCAGGGGAAUAAAGUGCAGGACGUGUCCUGUUUUGUAUGUACCCUGAGAAUAAGGAUCGGCUAACUCCGUGCCAGCCGCCGC